rnacentral:rRNA from 1 species
AACGAACGCUGGCGGCAUGCCUAACACAUGCAAGUCGAACGAGACCUUCGGGUCUAGUGGCGCACGGGUGCGUAACGCGUGGGAACCUGCCUUUAGGUUCGGAAUAACUCCCCGAAAUUUGUGCUAAUACCGGAUGAUGUCUUCGGACCAAAGAUUUAUCGCCUUUGGAUGGGCCCGCGUUGGAUUAGCUAGUUGGUGGGGUAAAAGCCUACCAAGGCGACGAUCCAUAGCUGGUCUGAGAGGAUGAUCAGCCACACUGGGACUGAGACACGGCCCAGACUCCUACGGGAGGCAGCAGUGGGGAAUAUUGGACAAUGGGCGAAAGCCUGAUCCAGCAAUGCCGCGUGAGUGAUGAAGGCCUUAGGGUUGUAAAGCUCUUUUACCCGAGAUGAUAAUGACAGUACCGGGAGAAUAAGCUCCGGCUAACUCCGUG